ensembl:lncRNA
CUGGAACUUGCUCUGUGGACCAAUCUGGCCUCAAACUCAUAGAGAUCUGCCUGUCUUCCGCCUCCAGAGCACUGGGAUUAAAGGAUUUCACUACCACAGCUAGAAACACUACCAACAAAAGCAAAAAAUCUUUCAAUUUAUAGCCCAGGCAAAUAAGAGCCAGAGGCUAGAAAUAUUAUUUAUUGAGAAAUAACUAUACCAGACAAUGGAACAAGUAGAAAUCCAUCAUCUAAUUUAUUGUUGAGACAGGGUCUCACUGUAGUUCUGGCUAGCCUCGAACUCACAGAAAUCCACUUAUUUCUGUCUUCCAAGUGAUGGAAUUCAAAAGCAUACAUCAACAUGGCUUAACUCAUAUAUUUUUGGUGCCACAGAUCAAACCCAGGACUUUGGGCAUGCUAAGCACUGACUGUACCACAGAGCUCUAUGCCCAGUUCACCCCCUUAUUGCCUAAUUUCAUCUUGUAGUGUCAAGCAAGUACUGUUAUUAACCUAAUAACGGAAUUUUACCAUUGAGGAAACAGGCACAGAAAGGCUAAGUACCUACUUAAGAUUGGAUGAUUCAGAUCCAAAAGUUCACAUUCUUGCCUGUUGCCAUCACUUAGCUGCCUCCUCGUUGUUGAGACACAGAGGAUCUCACUAUAUUUAUUGCCCAAGCCAGCCUGGAGCUUCUCAGAUCAAGGGAUCUUUUGCCUCAGCCUCCUGAGUAGCUGGGACUGCAAGUACAUACACCGCUCCUGGCUUUGUUGGUUUCUCUGCUGCCCCAUAGAAAGCAAGCAGAAACUACCACUCACUAUAGGCUAAAUGCCCAACUUGGGCCUCAGCUUUCCAAUCUGUAAAAUAAAACGACAAGGAGGGCAUGGUUUGCACUAAAUGCUUUCUAGGAUACCAAACAAUCGCAGUAUUGUAAGUCAACCUUCUGACCAUGUUCUUCUGAUGGGUUCAAUCUGCAAAAGAUUUGUCUUCAGAAUAUCCCUACCAUUUGUUUUCUGCCUCGAUUACACCCGGGAUUUCUAAAGCUCAGAGGAGAGACAGUACCCUAGCAGAGUCUCUCAACAGCCCUGGCCACAGAGUGCCUACCUUCAGCCUCAGUGGUACUCCUUUUUAGGGUACGUUGGAGAAACUCGAGUUGGAUACAACACUGAGAGACCAACUGAAUGGAGAAUGCUGGCUAAUAUGUUCGGACAAGGGACCAGGUGAACUUGCUGUCCUGGAACUUGCUCUGUAGACCAGGCUGGCCCCCAACUCACAGAGACCCACCUGUCUCUACCUCUACCUGGGAUUAAAGGCAUGCACCAAGCACUCACUACCCGGAAAGGACCCUUUUAAUAAUCUUCCGUGACUCAGGAGAAAGUUGAAAGUUAGGGGACAGAGUCAUAGGGAGGCUGUAGCUCUAUCAGGAAAUGGAUUCUUUGCCCUCUGCCCCUGAUGCUCACAUGGGAGUUUCUGGAAGAAAGGUGUGAUAAACUUCCCUCUCCGCUCCCUUUAGUCUUUUGCAGGCAAAUGUGUUUCCUCCUUCCUUCUUGAAGGACUCCUGGUCUCUUCUGUCCUCCCCCCUCCCCCGGAGAUAAGAAUUCUUAUCUCAGAACAACCCAACUUCUCGCCACCAUUAGGUAGCAGAUACCUCGACUGGAAAGACCGGACAGUCACUGAGAAGGAUGGUCAGACACCCGGAGGACCUUGCUUGUUUCUGUGCUGGGGUGGAUGCGCAGCAGCCUCGCAGGCCGCCUCUCUAAGCACACCUCCUGCCACCCCCGCAGACACAUCGGAUGUUGCGUCGCCGCCCCGCCUCUUCUUGCUCUGCAUCUGCCCAAACCCAGGCUGUCACAACUCGGCGUGGUGGGGAGCGUGGGCGUGCUGCGGGGCGACCAUGGCUGUAGACUGUUACCUCCGGUUCCCACAGUAACAAUCGAAAGCCACGGUUGCCCUGGAGACGCGGG